UGCCUAAUACAUGCAAGUCGAGCGGUAAGGCUCCUUCGGGAGUACACGAGCGGCGGACGGCUGAGUAACGCGUUGGAACGUACCCCAAAGUGAGGGAUAAGCAUCGGAAACGGUGUCUAAUACCGCAUGUGGUCUUCGGAUUAAAGCUUCGGCGCUUUGGGAACGGCCUGCGUAUGAUUAGCUUGUUGGUGAGGUAAAAGCUCACCAAGGCGAUGAUCAUUAGCUGGUCUGAGAGGAUGAUCAGCCAGACUGGGACUGAGACACGGCCCAGACUCCUACGGGAGGCAGCAGUAGGGAAUUUUCCACAAUGGGCGCAAGCCUGAUGGAGCAACGCCGCGUGCAGGAUGGAGGCCUUCGGGUUGUAAACUGC
rnacentral:rRNA from 1 species